AUCCUUUAGUGAACACGUCGGCUAUUUGUUCCUUCAAAGUCACAUGCGAGACACUUAAAAGACCGAUCCACUAUUUUCUCCUUUAUGAAAUAUCGAUCAAUCUUUAUAUGCUUGGUCUGAUCAUGUUAAUCUGAAUUAUGAACUAUACUGAUGGUAAUUUUGUUGUCUCAAAAUAAGGACAAAUUGUUUGCUUCUAAUAGUCUCAUUUCCACCAUCAAUUUCUGCACCCAUGACAGCUCGCAAAUACCCUGUGCCAUAGCUCUGUAUUUUGCCUUUAUACUAGAUCUUGCUAUUAUAUUCUGCUUUUUACUGCUCCAAGUGACUAAAUAGCCACCAACAAAGGUAUAAUAACCUGAUGUUGAUUUCCUAUCAUCAAAAGAUUUACCCCAAUCUGCAUUUGU
rnacentral:misc_RNA from 1 species